ACUGAGACACGGCCCAGACUCCUACGGGAGGCAGCAGUGGGGAAUAUUGGACAAUGGGGGCAACCCUGAUCCAGCCAUGCCGCGUGAGUGAAGAAGGCCUUCGGGUUGUAAAGCUCUUUCAGAUGCGAAGAUGAUGACGGUAACAUCAGAAGAAGCCCCGGCUAAUUUCGUGCCAGCAGCCGCGGUAAUACGAAAGGGGCUAGCGUUGUUCGGAUUUACUGGGCGUAAAGGGCACGCAGGCGGUCUUGCCAGUCAGGGGUGAAAGCCCGAGGCUCAACCUCGGAACUGCCUCUGAUACUGUAAGACUUGAGACUAGGAGAGGGUGGUGGAAUUCCCAGUGUAGAGGUGAAAUUCGUAGAUAUUGGGAGGAACACCGAGAGGCGUAAGGCGGCCACCUGGACUAGGAUCUGACGCUCAGGUGCGAAAGCGUGGGGAGCAAACAGGAUUAGAUACCC
rnacentral:rRNA from 1 species